CCGUAACGCGGCGGUCUGGUAGCAACCCUGCCAGUCGCCACACGCGUUUAUCACCCUUGAAUUUGAGAACCUUCUGUUUCCUCGGCGGGUCCGCCCGCCAACGAGGACCCCUUGAACUCUUUGUAGUUAGCAGUAUUUGUCUGAAAAACAAAGUUAAAUAAUUA
rnacentral:misc_RNA from 1 species